UAGUGGAGAUGGCCAGUAGGCUGCUGAACAUACAGUUCUGAAGUUUAUAAGCAAGAUUGUAACCUGAAGGGAUAAGAGAGCCCUGGAUAGAAUCCUGAGAAACACCUGUAUUUAAGAGCUGGACAACAGAAACUGGGGAGUGGCUAUGGAGUUCUGAGUUCUGACAUUAUAGAAGCCAAAGAGAGAACAUGCCUCAAGGAGGGCAUAGUCAGCAGCGUUAAAUCCUUCUAAGAGGAAGAAGGCACUAUGGAUGGUGGAGUAGAAGACAUUAAGAGAGACAGAGAGAACUGCAGAUUCAAGGUCUCUGAGAUGACAAGGGAUUGGAUCCAACACAAAAGUGGAACCCCUUUCUUGGCUGCAAGAGGAAGGAAGAUGGGCAGCGAUAACAACAAAGAUGCUGUGGACUUUGCUUUAACUUGGUUAAUGACGAUUCUAUGGCAAUGUAUUAAAUUUCUUUCUCCUAAGUCCACUGAAGUCUUUUUGGACUUGGAGAGAGCUUUUUAAGAAAGAACUUGCUCAUUCAGCAGGAUUUUCCUCCCCACCCCAAGCUCUGGUUCUGACCUGGAAAAAAUAAGAGUGAGAAAGAGCAAGAGAAUCCUGCAGUCCUGACGCUCAACUUCACAAACCACAAAAAAGAACCUUUCUCCAGUAACGUAAUCAUGGAGAUUUCUGGCACCUUGGUCUUUCAAGAAAAAUACAUCCUUCUGCUGGCACAGGGACCCAUCAAACUAAACCCUAUUCAGCAUGGAGUUCCCGAUUCAUUAGUGUUGGAAAGUCUAUAGCGAGGCUGGCCGCUCCCAUUGGAUGAUGCCUCCCUGCAGCGCCGUCUGUAAACCCCACAGCUGUGUUUUCACUUAAAGCCACUUCUCCUGACUGCGCUGCACCUUGUUCCAGAGGCUUGCUCUGUUCUCAUUAAGGUUAAAAAUGACAGGACAAGGAUUCUUCAAUGCUGA
rnacentral:lncRNA from 10 species